UGUCUGAAUUGGAGAGUCCAGACAAAAUGAAGCCUCAAGAUGAUUCUGGAUUGCAAGCAAACAGUAUUCAGAAGGGAUUAACUCAAGGAUUACAUUUUUGCCCCCUUGCUAUAAAAUCGACGUCUCCAACUCUUUUUCAGCUCGAGAAGCCUCCAUCAAGGUCAAUACCCACUGUUCGCCGAUAUCAGGCUUAUCCAUCGCAAUCAACAUCGGCAGAACCUUGCUGUGGUAGAAAAAGAGAAGAACAGGGAUUGAAAUCGGUAAGGUUCUAAAGUUUGAUUGAAAUCAGUAAGGUUCGAAAGUUUGAAGCUGUAGUAGAAAGGAAAAGAAGAGGGAUUGAAAUCGGUAAGGUUCUAAAGUUUGAAGCUUUCAUUUGGUUAGAUUUUGGGGGUUGCGUUUUUGUUGUUUUUUGCUGGAAUUGGGUUUUGGGUUUGAUUUGUUGUUUGGUUGUCUUUCGCAGUUCUAAAUAUUGUUCACUUAAAUAUCUAGGAAAGAAGAAUAAGGAUUGAAAUCGACGAACUGAUGAAUUAGCUAGAUUUUGACCGGAAACCGGAAACCUCACUGACUGUACACACAACUCCAUCCAUUCAAGACAAAACUCCAUCAACAGCUAUUUCAGGAGCAUACUUCAAUUCAAUUUGUGCAUUGUAAUACAAAAUUUUGGCCAAAAUGUACCUCACUUCAGAACAUAAUUUCAAUAAAAACAAUUCCUCUGGAAUUUUUCCC